CCCUCCACUCUCUCCUCCUAACCUCCUAAAGAUGUUCCUCUACCCUCCACUCUCUCCUCCUAACCUCCUAAAGAUGUUCCUCUACCCUCCACUCUCUCCUCCUAACCUCCUAAAGAUGUUCCUCUACCCUCCACUCUCUCCUCCUAACCUCCUAAAGUUGGUCCUCUCCCCUCCACUCUCUCCUCCUAAAGUUGUUCCUCUCCCCUCCACUCUCUCUCCUCCUAAAGUUGUUCCUCUACCCUCCACUCUCUCUCCUCCUAAAGUUGUUCCUCUCUCUCCUCCUAAAGUACAUAGUGCUUCUUUGAUGGCUUUAGGUCACUUGUGAAGAUCUGUUUCUGUCUCACUUGUUUCCGUUUCUUUUUUUUUUAUGUACAGUAGAUAUGUAUUAUAUAAACUGUAUUUACAUCAUUACUCUGAUACGACGACUACUAUUGCUUUACAUGAGCCGGACACUGCGUCACUACAUGUGGUUCCUUCAAUAAGUCAGUGUUAUGUCCAUGUCAGACACUGGUGCUCUGUUGUUGUUGUUGUUGUUGUUGUUGUAAUGCUAAAGGCGAAAAACUAACCAUUACAAGUCCCUUCUCACAAAACAUUGUCAACUUCCUCCCAGACUAUCCCAUUUUAAAAUAAAAUAGCCAUUUGGAUAAUGUGCAACUGUACUGGGAACAUGACCAGUGGUACAUGUCUAUUUCAGCCAGUCCCAGCCCCCUGGAGAUGGGAUGAGCUGGGAGGGGCUGGGAGGAGAUGGAAGGGGCUGGGAGGAGAUGGAAGGGGCUGGGAGGAGUUGGAAGGGGCUGGGAGGAGGUGGGAGGGGCUGGAAGGAGGUGGGAGGGGCUGGGAGGAGGUGGGAGGGGCUGGGAGGAGAUGGAAGGGGAUGGGAGGAGUUGGAAGGGGCUGGGAGGAGUUGGAAGGGGCUGGGAGGAGAUGGAAGGGGCUGGGAGGAGAUGGAAGGGGCUGGGAGGAGUUGGAAGGGGCUGGGAGGAGUUGGAAGGGGCUGGGAGGAGAUGGAAGGGGCUGGAAGGAGGUGGGAGGGGCUGGGAGGAGUUGCAAGGGGCUGGGAGGAGUUGGAAGGGGCUGGGAGGAGGUGAGUGUCUGGGAGGAGGUGGGAAUAGCUGGAAGGGGCUGGAAGGUGGG
ensembl:lncRNA